CCUACGGGUGGCUGCAGUGGGGAAUAUUGCACAAUGGGGGAAACCCUGAUGCAGCCAUGCCGCGUGUGUGAAGAAGGCCUUCGGGUUGUAAAGCACUUUCAGCGAGGAGGAAAGGUUGUUGGCUAAUACCCAGCAACUGUGACGUUACUCGCAGAAGAAGCACCGGCUAACUCCGUGCCAGCAGCCGCGGUAAUACGGAGGGUGCAAGCGUUAAUCGGAAUUACUGGGCGUAAAGCGCACGCAGGCGGUUGGAUAAGUUAGAUGUGAAAGCCCCGGGCUCAACCUGGGAAUUGCAUUUAAAACUGUCCAGCUAGAGUCUUGUAGAGGGGGGUAGAAUUCCAGGUGUAGCGGUGAAAUGCGUAGAGAUCUGGAGGAAUACCGGUGGCGAAGGCGGCCCCCUGGACAAAGACUGACGCUCAGGUGCGAAAGCGUGGGGAGCAAACAGGAUUAGAUACCCUUGUAGUC
rnacentral:rRNA from 1 species